rnacentral:rRNA from 1 species
UACGGGGGGGGCAAGCGUUGUUCGGAAUUACUGGGCGUAAAGGGCUCGUAGGUGCCAACUAAGUCAGGCGUGAAAUCCCUCGGCUUAACCGGGGAACUGCGUCUGAUACUGGAUGGCUUGAGUUCGGGAGAGGGAUGCGGAAUUCCAGGUGUAGCGGUGAAAUGCGUAGAUAUCAAGAGGAACACCUGAGGUGAAGACGGGUUGCUGGGCUGACACUGACGCUGAGGCGCGAAAGCCAGGGGAGCAAACGGG